AUUGAACGCUGGCGGCAGGCCUAACACAUGCAAGUCGAGCGGAUGAAGGGAGCUUGCUCCUGGAUUCAGCGGCGGACGGGUGAGUAAUGCCUAGGAAUCUGCCUGGUAGUGGGGGAUAACGUCCGGAAACGGGCGCUAAUACCGCAUACGUCCUGAGGGUGAAAGAGGGGGAUCUUCGGACCUCACGCUAUCAGAUGAGCCUAGGUCGGAUUAGCUAGUUGGUGGGGUAAAGGCCUACCAAGGCGGCGAUCCGUAACUGGUCUGAGAGGAUGAUCAGUCACACUGGAACUGAGACACGGUCCAGACUCCUACGGGAGGCAGCAGUGGGGAAUAUUGGACAAUGGGCGGAAGCCUGAUCCAGCCAUGCCGCGUGUGUGAAGAAGGUCUUCGGAUUGUAAAGCACUUUAAGUUGGGAGGAAGGGCAGUAAGUUAAUACCUUGCUGUUUUGACGUUACCAACAGAAUAAGCACCGGCUAACUUCGUG
rnacentral:rRNA from 1 species